CCUUGGAUUAUCACAUUUCUUCAAGGACCAAAAGCUGUGCUGGUGAUUCAGACCCGGAGGAGAAUGUCGUUUUAAGUGUGCCUGUGCUGGCUCACAUGUGACUCAGUAUUUGAUCAAUACUGCUGGUGGCUGUUGGUGCAGCAACUGAUGGGAAGCUGGAGGAGAAUUAUUCCGGUGAAAGCCUCGAGAAAAAUCAGUCAGAGAAGGCUGUGCCGCCAGAGUCCCAUCCCAUCACGCUCAGACAAAAUCCUCAGAAAUCCCACCUUAAAACCACACUGGAAACACCAGGGGAAAGUAUCAAGACAAGCAGUUCUUGGGAAUGUAUGGAAUUGACACAGAAGUCAUGGAGCAACUGAGCAGUGACAGGGCUGGAAAGGUAUGAGGGUUUGUGGUUCUUCAGGUAGGGAUGG
rnacentral:lncRNA from 1 species